rnacentral:rRNA from 1 species
UUUUAGAAUUAAAUUUAAAGUCUAACCUGCCCACUGAAAUUUUUAAAUGGCCGCAGUAUUUUAACUGUGCAAAGGUAGCAUAAUCAUUAGUCUUUUAAUUGGAGGCUGGAAUGAAUGGUUGGACGAAAUAUUAACUGUUUCAUUUAAAUUUUUAUAGAAUUUUAUUUUUUAGUUAAAAAGCUAAAAUUAAUUUAAAAGACGAGAAGACCCUAUAAAUCUUUAUAUUUUAUUUAUUUUAAUUAAAAAGAUUAUUUUUAUUAAAAUAAAUAAAAAUAUUUUAUUGGGGUGAUAUUAAAAUUUAAAUAACUUUUAAUUUUAAAAUUCAUUAAUUUAUGAAAUAUUGAUCCAUUAUUAAUGAUUAAAAAUUUAAGUUACUUUAGGGAUAACAGCGUAAUUUUUUUGGAGAGUUCAUAUCGAUAAAAAAGAUUGCGACCUCGAUGUUGGAUUAAGAUAUAAUUUUGGGUGUAGCUGUUCAAAUUUUAAGUCUGUUCGACUUUUAAAUUCUU